GGAUUUUUACCCCACUUACAGAAUGACCAAUGGAAAAAGUAUCAUAAACAUUGAAUCAGUGAAACAGAGAUGAAACAUAGGGUAGAAUACGAUGUCAUCGAAACAAGUAAGGUAAGGACACUUGUUCUUAAUGUAUCAUGUCGAAUUACGAGACCACUGAAGGAUUAAAUAGUUUUGUUAAGAUCCUAUUGAUGAUUUUCGAAUUUCCUCUGCAUGGUACUCAUUUAAAGGUACACGAUAUUACUUUAUAUAUAUACCCAACAACACAAAUAAUGCAGCAAUUCAAUAAGAUAUACAAAGUAACAGAUUUGUUACACAUACAACGCAGAUACUUUUUAUUUGAUUAUUCAGCUGCAGCCUUUUCAUGACCAUAGAAAUAAUAAAAUAAGUAUUCAUAGAUCUAUUUCAUUUAUUGAAAUGCAGAAGAAGGAAUGUUAUUUCAUUGCAGAAAUUGUUGUCUGUAUGUGGUAAGUCAAGAUAAACAUGUAACCAUAAAGCACAAAUUUAAAUGUAAAAAAAAAAUGUCUGGCUGCAUGUGCAUGGCUUACAAAUUUUUCUAUGACCGACAUGUGUGGCAUACAGCAUGUCAGCUGUAUUAGACAGCAUGCAUGGCUGAUUUGUUUGUUAUAAUAAUUAUGUCAUUAUGUCUGGUUGUUGCGUUCAGAUGAUGCAUCUUAGUCAUGUUUUGCUUUAAUGUGUUUUUAUUGUGUCCAUUAAAAAAACCCCACUUUUUGA
rnacentral:misc_RNA from 1 species